UCUCCGACAGUAGCAGCUCCCGUAUAUCGUCGACACCGCUGUUGAUUGCACGCAGGUACGCCUGUAUGUGGGCAGCAGACCGGUGCCCACGGGUGGAUGGGAAAAGAUUUUUGGCUUCGUGUUAGAUCGCACUGCUGGUGUUCAGUGUCCGACAGCGACAGUUGACGCUGCGUUUUCAACCCACCCGUACGCCAUAUAUGCCGCCCAGCCGAGCUUGGUUUGUGUUCUGCGCCGUGUGAACCUGCCAUUUGAGAGCCUCGUCGGAGAGAGGUAGACGAUGCCGAAACGCUCAGCCAAGAAACCUUAAACGCGCUAAUGGCAGGGUACCGAGCCACCAAAACUCGUGCUGAGCUUAAAGUCGCGCGCAUCGCGACUUCGAGGACGUGCCUGAGGACGCUGAUGUCCAAAUUAUG